GGAGGAAAAGAACUAACAAGGAUUCCCCUAGUAACUGCGAGUGAAGCGGGAAAAGCUCAAAUUUAAAAUCUGGCAGUCACUGGCUGUCCGAGUUGUAAUCUAGAGAAGUGCUACCCGCGCUGGACUGUGUACAAGUCUCCUGGGAUGGAGCAUCGUAGAGGGUGAGAAUCCCGUCUCUGACACAGACUACCAGGGCUUUGUGGUAUGCUCUCAAAGAGUCGAGUUGUUUGGGAAUGCAGCUCAAAAUGGGUGGUAAAUUCCAUCUAAAGCUAAAUAUUGGCGAGAGACCGAUAGCGAACAAGUACCGUGAGGGAAAGAUGAAAAGAACUUUGGAAAGAGAGUUAAACAGUACGUGAAAUUGCUGAAAGGGAAACACUUGAAGUCAGUCACGUUGGCCAGGGAUCAGCCUCACUUCUUUGUGUGGUGUACUUCCUGGCUGAUGGGUCAGCAUCAAUUUUGACUGCUGGAAAAAGGCUUGAGGAAUGUGGCAGCUCUGGCUGUGUUAUAGCUUCUUGUCACAUACAGCGGUUGGGAUUGAGGAACUCAGCACGCCRCAAGGCCGGGUUUCGACCACGUUCGUGCUAAGGAUGCUGGCAUAAUGGCUUUA
rnacentral:rRNA from 1 species